CUGAAUUGUACUGUUAAUGUGAAUGUGUCUGGCAUCUGCAAUUUCUGAUAUAGUUUUUAAAAAUGUGAAUAUCACUUUGCUCCCGAUAACCAUUUUAGAUCUUCUUCGGCAAAGCACAUAGCUUUCCUCUAUCUGCAUGCUAAUUAUUUAAUAAAUCCAUUUAUUGCCUGCUAAAGUAGUUUUUUUUAACAGGAACAACGUAUCAUAUUUCCAUAUAAAGUGCUUAUAAAAAUAAGAUGGAAUGAAGUGUUUCUAGAGGAGAAUGAUUAUAGGGUUGAGCUUUUCAAAGCUACAGUAUUAAUUUAUUAAAUUAUUCCAAUAUAUUCUGAAUUGUUAACAUUGCACUGGAAAUGUCGGUGACUGGCUAGAACUUGACAUGGAAAUGUCUCAUCCAUACAGCAAUUGUAUUUCAUAAGCUUUUGUUAAAAUAGUCAUUUUUCAUACUUGGAGGGACGAAUAUCUUCUUAGGGUAUUUUUUUCAAUGUAUUGCUUUUGACUAUGUACCCCUGGAUCCAAAAAUGUUUCCUUGAUGACAUAACAUUCUGUAUUUAUUUACAACAGAGCAAAUAAUAACCAUUUUUUGAAGAAAAAUAAUCUAGCUUGUCUGAUUUGGAUCUUGAACACAAAGCUCACCAGAAAAUGGUUUUUUUUUUUCCCUCUGUAGAAGGACCAGCAACCAGUGAGACCUUUGUAGAAGAUUCCAUUGUUGAAGAUAUGUGCCAGGUGCUGGUUCUAUGAGAGAUGCAACAAAGUGUGAGCCAUGGAGUAUCACAGACACAGAUCUCUCUCUCUGGAUAUUAGAAGAGAUUCAUAACAGUGAUUCGCUUCAUCAUACCUUGGAACCCCUUAAGCCAUCCUGCUCAGCUCUCCAAAAUGGAUUCUUGUCUGAACUUAGACUGAUGUUUUCAUGAUGGAGUCUGGUAGUAAUGAUGGUAAGAACCAGAAUGAGAGACACUUGUUGGGAAAUUAAAACAAGAAGGAUGGAGUUUGGAACUGACAGUUGAGCCCACCCUUUCAUCAUGAGAAUUCUCUAGGGUCUCUUGCUUUGAAAUUCAGGGACAUAUCCAUGCUUUUUUUAAAAAAGGAAGGCCAUUUCUUACUUGUGGUAAGAUGUUCUUGGACUAGAAGCCCAAGUUAUCUCGUACACUAAGCUCCAAUCUGCACAGAAAAGCCCAGGUUAGACCUUUGGAGCAGGGAUCUGAAUAUAUUCCACUUAGUCAUUUAUCACACAAUUGUUGGUUGAGUGCCAGGUACUGUUCUAGGUCCAAGGGAAAAUGAGACAAGCAGUUCCUGUCUUCACAGAGAAUAGUAAGUAAUUUCACUUUGACCUGCUGCUGCUGCUAAGUCACUUCAGUCGUGUCCAACUCUGUGCAACCCCAUAGAUGGCAGUCCACCAGGCUCCUCUGUC
rnacentral:lncRNA from 1 species